rnacentral:lncRNA from 1 species
AUGAGCCUGGUUUGGCCACAAUGCCUCCAUCAUACAGAGAAAAAAGGAACCAGGACAGUUUCUCUGCCUUGCUGCCCAGAAGCAGCUCUGCCUGGGGACCUUUUACACUCUUCCCACCCUCCAGGGCUGCCCCGGGAGAGCCCUCCUCUGCACUGAGCUGCUGAACGUUCCAGACUGCUCUGGGAGAAGUGUGUUCUGAUGAGUGGAGAAAGAAUAGGACAAACCACAUUUGAAGUAUAGCUGUCAAAAGGCUUGCAUCCAUCCGUACGUUUGUUCAUGAUCUUUUCAGAUUCUGAUUUUUCUGAUUAACAGCUAGGAAGCUUGCAUGUCAACGCUGCAGUGAGGACUCUGCUCCAUCUCCAAUCUAUAAAUAAAAGCAGAGCUCCAUUCCCUGCCAACUCAUUGCCUGGGACAAUGGCCAGGUGCCUGGGGGUGGGAAUGUUAUUAGAGGCUCAAUAAAUAUUUGUUGAAUCUUGAAUAAAUUCACCCCCUGAAAUCCGCUAAGAAGUGGUAAAUAGUCAGAGGUGAGAAAUAGUACCCUUCUCCCAGGAGAUUGAUUUAGUUAUUAUAUUAGAAUUGCAAAUUAACAUGUGCUUAGAGCUAGUUGGAAAUCUGUCCAUUAAUCCAGAUAAAAUUCAGCUUAUUAUGAAUCUCUUCUUGCUAUCCUUGGGUUAGGUUUGUAGGGGUUUUAAUAUAAUGUAUCUACAGGAAUUCCCAGUCCAAUGGUUAGGACUGACUCUUUUGCUACUGUGGACUAAGGUUCAGUCUCAGGUAGGGGAACUAAGUUCCCACAAGCCUCCUAGCAAGGCCAAAUAAUAAUAAUAGUGUAUCUACAAAAUGGAAAGCUAGAAGAACUCCAAAGUCAUCUAAGAUUGAUCUGAACAAGGAGAUAUGAUAUCGACCCUCAAGAGGUGCAUAUGAGAAGUGCCAGAUCAUCCCCGUAUAUGCUAUAAUAAAGAAAACCAGGCCAAUGGGAAUUUGGAGGAAUGAGAUAAUUUUGACCUGAGGUAGUAAGGGAAGAAUAUGUAGGGAGUGAGCAUCAUUCCUUUUGGGAGGGCACACCCCCCAGCACGUGGGAUUUUAGUUCCCUGACUGGGGACUGAGAUCGAACCCAUCCCCACUCCAGUGGAAGCACAAAGUCUUAACUACUGGACCACCAGGGAAGGCCCUCAUUCUUUUUUGAAGAAAUAUUUCUGAGCAUCACCCAAGCUAGACACUGGUACUGGGAUGAGCAAGAUUCAGUGCCUGCCUCCAAGGAACUCGUGGUACUAGAAGAGCUGACUCAGGC